CAUUAUUUUUCUCUACCACUACGCAUGUUCUAACAAUUCAUAAACUUUGUCUCAUCGGCUCCAAUCUGUGAUUAUUUCAAUUCUUUCCCCAACAGAGAAUGGUACCUGUAUAUUGAUGAUAUUGAUAUUUUCUACGCAAAGUUGGAUAGUGAUUGUAAUUGUAAUUGUGACGGUGGAGGUGGUGGGUUGAAGGUGAUUGAUUGGAAAUUCCCGGUUUCAAGCUUCAACUUUCAACGUUUAACAAGUCUCACCUGCCGUGCUGUGUGUGUGAAACCACCCUACGAUCCGACAUACGCCAAAUCUUCCUGAUGGUAAACUGCAUUCUUGAUUGAUCGAUUGUUUGUUCGUUUGUGUACUUAUCAGUGCCAAACGCCCAAACUUAGUGCUUGAUUGAUGUAGCUUCUUCGGCUAGGAAGAACCCAUAGGCACUUUCACGUCCGGUGAUGGAAGGAACCUUCUUGCUUUCUUGUUACGUUGGGGAAUCAUUGCAUCUGUUUGAGGAAUAAAACUACUAGGCAAUGCAAAAGAUGGUAAAUUGAAGUCUCUUCUUUAUUUCUUUAUUUGUGUUUUUUUUUUUUUUUUUUUCUUUUUUGAAUUAUUUAGUUGAUAGUUGUUUAUAUUUAGUUGUCAGAUUGUUACUUGUUUAAUUUGAAUAUGGAGUUUAUAUGUAUAGCAUUACUGGAUCUUUCAUUUUCUAUUUCUAUUUCUAUUUG
rnacentral:lncRNA from 1 species